GACCGAGUGUCCUCUGGGGACCGCAGCCCGGCCAGCGUGGCCGGCCACACGCGUGCGCUGCUUUGCUUUCCGAACCACCAGCCCAUGGGAGCCAAGGGCUCAGGCUCCCCAUUCAGAGCCUGUAAUGCCACUGAAGCGAAACAGGAAGGGAAACAACGUUCAGAGCAAAGGGUUUCUCCCUCCCGUGACCCUGAAAGAGAGCCAAUGGCAGCCUGCAGGGCCGGGCCAAAGGCUUCGGCAAAAAUCACCCAGCCGAAGGUUCUGCGGCGUGCUGGAGAGCCCGCUCCCCUCAGAGUCAAGAACUGCCCUGGAAUCCUGCGACAUGCCAGCCGUGAUUCCGAGAACCCCUCCACGCAGCCUCCACGCACCUCUCUGAAGAGUGACCCAUACCUCGUCACCCACUGGCUUUCAAGAUCGCCACUGACCCCCCGCCUUUUCCUGCAAGGAGCACCGCAGCCCGCAGGGUCAGCUCCAUCCUCCGGAGUCCUCCGGAUGCAGCCCGGCCUGAGGUCCUUCCUGAACACCUGUCGUCAGCAUGACAGUGGAAUCUCUCAUAAUCAGCUUCAACUGGUUCCAAGCCAGGGGACCCCCGGGCACUUGCCCAGGAUGGUUGGAGUUCACGCCGGCUUAUGCUGCUGUUCUUGCUGGUGA
rnacentral:lncRNA from 1 species